CUUCACACCUGCAUUCCGUUUGCCGGGAGGAGGCCACAGGGAGCGGACGUGGGUCUCGCGGGCACCAUUACUUGAGACGAACGAGGCCACCAGCGACCCGCCGUCAACCUCACGAGGAGCCAAGGUGUGUGUGUGUGUGUGUGCUUGUGAGCCUCACCUGCUCUCUUUCCGGGACCACCGUCACCGCCGCCACCUCCACCGCCUUCGUUGUCCCCACCAACAUAACUCAGUCUAAGGAGAUGUGUUCGAGCCACUGGUUCUGGUUCACUCUUCGCUGCUGGGGCGUCCUGUCCUUACCCAGUAGAGAGCGAGUCUGUGAGGGCACAGGGUGCGGCGUAGUUUACGGACGGCUGAGGCACUGGAAAUUUACUUGUAGUACAUGAAACAGCGUCUUGUAGUCUGAAAUUACGCCAAGUUACAUGUAUGAACACGAUACAUGUAACACUGCUUUGCAUCUUUGUGUAAUAAUGACAUAAAAGCUGGAAGCUGGUGAAUAAUAAUAAGCAGUCUGUAGUUCCCAGCUAUCUCUUUUUCUUAGUGUUACCAUUGCAAAUGUGAACGUGUCUGCGAGAUUUUCAUCAUGUUGUAACACUGUGGUCCACAUGUGGCUCAUACUGGAAAUUAUGUACUGGCCUCCCUCUGUACAGGACUAUUUGCUCACUCCGGGGCCCACUUGUUUGCUGUAGCAACAGCAACAGUAGCAAUAGCAGCAGCAACAACGUGACUCGAAACCCAGCGUGCUGAGAUGUCAACAUCAACAUCAACCUGCAGGGCACUCAUCACAGCUGCUGUGUGGAAGCCUGCAUUAUUUGUGUGCUGCCAGUCUGUGAUGCUGACCAGCAUGAACAACAGAAGAACUAAUCAUAGUCAUGACGUCACGUAUUUAGUGUGUAUUGCUUUGGACCAUUCGUUCAUAGGCCAUAUCAACAGAGCCCCUCCAUGGGCAUACGAACCCUAGCACUAUCAAAAAUUGUUUGAAACAAUGGUCAACAUUUUCAAGCGAUGAUGCACGUACAGUACUUACUGACUGCACCUCAUGUGCGUGGUAUCCUUACGCAUCUCGUGAGUGUGAUGGGUGUCGUAAACUUAAUGGGAAAUAAAUAAAAAAAAAAUAUUGUGGGGGAAGUAAUUAUCUUGAUUUUACUCUGUAAUAAUUGGUGUUAAUGUUCCAUCUCAUUAUAGUCUCCAUAAUUCUAUGCACCGUUCACUCGGUUUUAUUUUUCACCAGCACAUCCAGGGAGCCUCGAUGCAAGACUGGUGAAAAGAACUGUGAUGGGGAAACGUAUCAGUUCCACAUCAGUCCCUGAUGAAGACCCUGCAGGUGCUGCCAGUCUCUAACGUCGCCGAUUGUAGGAGAGAGGAUGGACACCACCAAACACCAGGAUGAAGGCAUACACCUCUCACCACGUGAAAACAAUAAUGAUGGACGAAUCUACAAGAGGCUCAGAGAUCAUUAUUCCCAGCCUUCAUAAGAAGUGAGAUGGCCUUCCUUCCACAGUGAGUAACUUCAGUAGAGAAAUCCACAAAGAGUCUCCACGUCACCACAUCAGUUGCAAAUUGGAGAUUAAUCGAUGCUAGCCCAGUGUCAGUUAUUUGUCAAUAAGGUACAGUUGCCAUGAAUUUGGUUUAAAGCAAUUGGUAACCCUUAUGGUGCUGGAAAAUAGUUGGUAGCACUGCGAUAGGAGCUUCCAUACCUCACCUCACCUCAUACGUCAUGGCAAUUCGUAUCCUCGCGAGUGUAGCGUUCUCAGAUACAUGGUGUCUUUUCGAACCAAGCCGCUAUUUGUUUCUACUGUAAACUUUUUCUCCAGUGGUGUGAGCAUCGGAGCCCCUAUGGCAGUGCUACCAACUAUGAUAUAUAGAACCCAACACAGUAAACAA